AUCAAAAACAUGUCUUUAAGAUUAAAAUUUAAAGUCUAAUCUGCUCAAUGAUUAAUUUUAAAUAGCUGCAGUAUUUUAACUGUACAACGGUAGCAUAAUAAAUAGUUUAUUAAUUGUAAACUAGUAUGAAUGAUUGAAUAAAAUAUAGACUGUUUCAUUUUAAAGGAUAAAAUUUUAAUUUUAAGUUAAAAUGCUUAAAUAAGUUUAAGGGACGAGAAGACCCUAUAGAUUUUUAUACCUUGAGUAGUUUAAAGGAUUUAUUUGAUAUUAGGAAUAUUUCAGGUAUUUAAAUGGGGAAUUUUUAUAAUAAUGUAAUUUUUUAAUUUAAUUUUCAUAGAUAUAUGUUUAGAGUAAUAGGAGUUAAUAAUGAAAAUAAAAAUACCUUAGGGAUAACAGCAUAAUAAUUUUUUUAAGAUCAAAUUUUAAAAGUUGAUUGUGACCUCGAUGUUGC
rnacentral:rRNA from 1 species